rnacentral:rRNA from 1 species
CAGUAUACUGUUCGGUGGCGCAGCUAACGCAUUAAACAUUCCGCCUGGGGAGUACGGUCGCAAGAUUAAAACUCAAAGAAAUUGACGGGGGCCCGCACAAGCGGUGGAGCAUGUGGUUUAAUUCGAAGCAACGCGCAGAACCUUACCUACCCUUGACAUACCGAUCGCGGUUUCCAGAGAUGGAUUCCUUCAGUUAGGCUGGAUCGGAUACAGGUGCUGCAUGGCUGUCGUC